GGUUUUUAGAAAUUAUUAAAAAUCAGACCUGCUCAAUGCUUUAGUAAAUAGCCGCAGUAUUAUGACUGUGCUAAGGUAGCAUAAUCAUUAGUCUUUUGAUUUAGGACUGGUAUGAAUGGUUAGACUAAAUAAUUUUGUCUUAUAAUAAUAUUUUAAAUUUCAUAAUUUAGUAAAAAUGCUAAAAUUUAUUUUAGGGACGAGAAGACCCUGUCAAGCUUUACAGAUAAAAUUUACUUUUCUUCACGUAACUUAAAUCUGUUUUACUGGGGCAGUAGAUGAAUGAAUUUUCGUUUUAAUAUUGUAAGAUUUACUUUUGGGAAAUCAGGAUAUUUCCUAAAUAAGAAUAAGUUACUGCAGGGAUAACAGCGUAAUUCUUUUUGAGAGUUCUUAUCAUCAUAAGAGUUUGCGACCUCGAUGUUGGAUUAAAAUUCCUAGUUCACGCAGUAGUAAAUUUAGGAAGUCUGUUCGACUUUUGAAAUUUUCCA
rnacentral:rRNA from 1 species